UGUCCAGACUCCUACGGGAGGCAGCAGUGGGGAAUAUUGCACAAUGGGGGAAACCCUGAUGCAGCGACGCCGCGUGAGUGAAGAAGUAUUUCGGUAUGUAAAGCUCUAUCAGCAGGGAAGAAAAUGACGGUACCUGAUUAAGAAGCCCCGGCUAACUACGUGCCAGCAGCCGCGGUAAUACGUAGGGGGCAAGCGUUAUCCGGAUUUACUGGGUGUAAAGGGAGCGUAGACGGCAGCACAAGUCUGGAGUGAAAUGCCGGGGCUUAACCCCGGAACUGCUUUGGAAACUGUGCAGCUAGAGUGCAGGAGAGGUAAGUGGAAUUCCUAGUGUAGCGGUGAAAUGCGUAGAUAUCAUGAAGAACUCCGAUCGCGAAGGCAAGUGUCCGGGGUGCAACUGACGCUGAGGCUCGAAAGUGCGGGUAUCAAACAGGAUUAGAUACCCUAGUA
rnacentral:rRNA from 1 species